rnacentral:misc_RNA from 1 species
GAAAUGCGAUAAGUAGUGUGAAUUGCAGAAUUCAGUGAAUCAUCGAAUCUUUGAACGCACAUUGCGCCCUUUGGUAUUCCAAAGGGCAUGCCUGUUCGAGCGUCAUUUGUACCCUCAAGCUUUGCUUGGUGUUGGGCGUCUUGUCUCUAGCUUUGCUGGAGACUCGCCUUAAAGUAAUUGGCAGCCGGCCUACUGGUUUCGGAGCGCAGCACAAGUCGCGCUCUCUUCCAGCCAAGGUCAGCGUCCAGCAAGCCUUUGCUGAUAGAGAGUGC